AUUGAACGCUGGCGGCAUGCUUUACACAUGCAAGUCGAACGGUAACAGGCCGCAUGGUGCUGACGAGUGGCGAACGGGUGAGUAAUGCAUCGGAACGUGCCCAGUCGUGGGGGAUAACGCAGCGAAAGCUGCGCUAAUACCGCAUACGAUCUCUGGAUGAAAGCGGGGGACCGAAAGGCCUCGCGCGAUUGGAGCGGCCGAUGUCAGAUUAGGUAGUUGGUGGGGUAAAGGCGCACCAAGCCAACGAUCUGUAGCUGGUCUGAGAGGACGACCAGCCACGCUGGGACUGGGACACGGCCCAGACUCCUACGGGAGGCAGCAGUGGGGAAUUUUGGACAAUGGGCGCAAGCCUGAUCCAGCAAUGCCGCGUGCAGGAAGAAGGCCUUCGGGUUGUAAACUGCUUUUGUACGGAACGAAACGGUCCUGGUUAAUACCUGGGGCUAAUGACGGUACCGUAAGAAUAAGCACCGGCUAACUACGUGCCAGCAGCCGCGGUAACAC
rnacentral:rRNA from 1 species